AGGGACACAAGUAAUGGGGAAUGUGGGGUGGGGAGGGUACAAGCAAAGGCCAGGCACUGUACUAAGUCCUUUUCAAAUUACAACAACAAUAAAAGUUAUAAUAAUGGCUAACAUUUAUGUAGUACUUCUAUGUGUCAGGAACUGUACUAUUUUAUUUGGUUCUCAAAGCCAACAUGGCAGGUGUUACAGAUGGGGAAACAGAAGCAAACAAGUUAAUGUGACUUGUCCAGAGUCACACAACAAUUAAGUAUCUGAGGCAACAUCUAGUUGCCAAAUUAGGAAAGCUGGUCAGUAAAGUGACUACUUUGACCUUGUAUAUAAUAUUCUGUCUUUGUAAGUCUUCUCUGCCAUGAUAGAGGGGGAGAAUGUUUCACUGUCUGUUCUCAGAACUCUUCCCUGAUUUUUCAUUUACUCAGCUUUCCUGCCCUUUUAGUGAUCUUUUCUUGGACACUUAUCACUAGAUACAUUGUUCUCUUGGUUCCAUGCCUCCCGAUUCUGCAUCAGUUCAUACAAAAUUUCUCAUGUUUAUCUGAGUUCUUCAUAUUUGUUAUUUCUUGCUGUACAAUAUUCUAUUCAUAUGAUGCAAAAGAAUGCUUGAUUUAGAGACAGAUAACCUGGGUUCAAAUUCUAAGUCUGCUAUUUACUAUUUGUGUGACCUUGGGCAGGUUAUUAUGUCAGAUGAUCUCCAAGACUCCUUUCUUCUUUCUUUCUUUCUUUCUUUCUUUCUCUUUUUCUUCCUUCCUUCUUUCCUUCUUUCCUUCUUUCCUUCUUUCCUUCCUUCCUUCCUUCCUUCCUUCCUUCCUUCCUUCCUUCCUUCCUUCCUUCCUUCUUUCUUUCUCUUUCUUUCUCUUUCUUUCUCUCUCUCUCUCUUUGUUUCUCUCUUUCUCUCUCUUUCUUUCUUUCUUUCUUUCUUUCUUUCUUUCUUUCUUUCUUUCUUUCUUUCUUUCCUUAUCCUCUAAGUUUUAAGACAGAAGAGCAGCACAUAUGAGGCAAUUGGGGUUAAGUGUCUUGCCCAAGGACAUGCAGCUAGAAAGUAUCUGAUGUCAAAUUUGAACCCAGGUCCUUCCAACUCCAGGCCUGGCACUCUAGCCAUUGUGCUACC
rnacentral:lncRNA from 1 species